GACGAACCGUGCAAACGUUGUUCGGAAUCACUGGGCUUAAAGGGCGCGUAGGCGGCCACGCCAGUCUGGGGUGAAAUCUUUCGGCUCAACCGGAAAAUUGCCUGGGAUACUGCGUGGCUCGAGGGAGGUAGGGGCGGUCGGAACUUCCAGUGGAGCGGUGAAAUGCGUUGAUAUUGGAAGGAACGCCGGUGGCGAAAGCGGACCGCUGGAUCUCAUCUGACGCUGAGGCGUGAAAGCUAGGGUAGCGAACGGG
rnacentral:rRNA from 2 species